rnacentral:rRNA from 1 species
GACGAACGCUGGCGGCGUGCCUAAUACAUGCAAGUCGAACGAGAGCGACCGGUGCUUGCACUGGUCAAUCUAGUGGCGAACGGGUGAGUAACACGUGGGUAACCUGCCCAUCAGAGGGGGAUAACAUCCGGAAACGGAUGCUAAAACCGCAUAGGUCUUCGAGCCGCAUGGCUUGAAGGGGAAAAGAGGCGCAAGCUUCUGCUGAUGGAUGGACCCGCGGUGCUUUAGCUAGUUGGUGAGGUAACGGCUCACCAAGGCCGUGAUGCAUAGCCGACCUGAGGGGGUGAUCGGCCACAGUGGGACUGAGACACGGCCCAAACUCCUACGGGAGGCAGCAGUAGGGAAUCUUCCGCAAUGGACGCAAGUCUGACGGAGCAACGCCGCGUGAGUGAAGAAGGUUUUCGGAUCGUAAAACUCUGUUGUUAGAGAAGAACAAGUGCUAGAGUAACUGUUAGCGCCUUGACGGUAUCUAACCAGAAAGCCACGGCUAACUACGUG